ACCUCCGUACGGGAGGUAGGCAGUGGGAAUAUUGCAACGGAAAUCGGGGAACCUGAUGCAGCCAUGCCGCGUGUGUGAAGAAGGCCUUCGGGUUGUAAAGCACUUUCAGUAGGGAGGAAGGUAGUGUAGUUAACACCUGCAUUAUUUGACGUUACCUACAGAAGAAGCACCGGCUAACUCCGUGCCAGCAGCCGCGGUAAUACGGAGGGUGCGAGCGUUAAUCGGAAUUACUGGGCGUAAAGCGCAUGCAGGCGGCCUGUUAAGUCAGAUGUGAAAGCCCGGGGCUUAACCUCGGAAUUGCAUUUGAAACUGGCAGGCUAGAGUACUGUAGAGGGGGGUAGAAUUUCAGGUGUAGCGGUGAAAUGCGUAGAGAUCUGAAGGAAUACCGGUGGCGAAGGCGGCCCCCUGGACAGAUACUGACACUCAGAU
rnacentral:rRNA from 1 species